AUGAAAUCCAGAAGGAUGAGUGUAAUUUUUUUUUUUCUUAGCAUUGCUCUUUCAAAUUGUCCCCUUGAAACACAGGUUGGCUCUGCUGUUACACACCUGUGUGUGAAGAAGGGAUUUGAUGGACUGACUUGCUGCCCAGAAAGCGAGUGCUGGAGGAUUUAUUUCGUUCACGGCGGCAAAGCUGCGAGCUGCAAGACCUUCGUUCUCAGCUCCCGCAGCAGUGACGGGCGCUUUGCGACAAGUGUCACGAAACGUGAGCGCAAGUGUAAGGUAAGGGCCCCCCGGGGAAGGGCCUUGCGAGGAGGUGGCACCUUGGUCCUCUCUUCUUUCUUCUGCUGCCUUAAACAUCAGCUGUGCUGCCAAGGGCUUAAUGAAGGAGCUGGCCUCGCCGGGGUUUUCACCCUUGGUGUGGGCAGGACAGGGCCUGAGGGCUCCGGAGUGGCAGGUGCCACUUGGACCAGUUCAAUCCAAUCCACACGAGGGUGUGAAGAAAAGCACGUGUGGCUCUUUGGAGAGCCACCGAUAUACCAGGCUGCUGGCCCUGCUCACUAUCGUGGGUCACCUUCCCGAGAGGAUACUCUCGGAUGAAUUCCUGUUGGAUUUGACUUUUCCCACAUUAUCUUGUGUCUGUCUCCAGGAAGCUGGAAAUUUGACCACCAGACCUCCCUGUCCCGUGGCAGAGAAGCCCAUCCCCCAGAGCCUAUGUGGCAACCGGAGUAAGAAGCUUCCACGGCGCUCAGUCUGGGCCAGGCUUUGAUAGAAGCAUUUGACAUGGAUCAGCUCCCAUAAUCCUCAUAGUAACCCGCGGGGGUUAGAAUCAUUUCCUUUUUAGAGACUAGGAAACUGAGGCACAGAGUUCAUUUACUUCGCAGUGUGGCAUUUUGUCCUAAAACAGAACAGAGGACAAAAGGCCAAACGCUGACAUCCGUGCCAAUCCUCCUUCCGCUCGGGUCCUCCCCCACCACCGCUGUUACCAUAGCUCCACGCACAGACUGGGGGGCUUAACGACAGAAACUUAUUCAACUGGUCCCCUACUGGCUGUUUCCAAACUCCUGCUCUUAUAAACAACACUGCACCAAGCAUCACUGCAUAUCUAUGAGAUGAAUUACUAGAAGGGGGAUUUCUGAGUCAAAGGGCAUGUCCAUUUGUAACUUUUUAAAAAUCUAGUUUAAAAUCUAUUGAUUUAUUUUAGAGAGAAUGCACAUGAGUGGGAGAUGCACAAAGGUUCUCAAGCAGGCUCCACGGUGAGUGAGGAGCACAAGGCAGGGCUUGAACUCACGACCCUGAGUUCACAAGCUGAGCCAAAACCAAGAGUCGGAAGCUUGCCUGACUGUGCCACCCAGGCGCCCCUGCAUUUGUAAUUCUGAUGGCGGCUGCUCUCCACAGAGGUUGGACGGAUCUGCCCUCCCACCAACACUGUUUGAGGCCACCUGUUAUGCUAUAGUUUCACCAACACACCUACAAAAUCGUAUCAAACCCUGCCAAACUGAUGGGCCAAAAAAAUUAAAUAAAUGAUAGAACUCCACUGUACUCUAACUUGUCAUCUGUGUGUUUCCAGUUAGACUGAGCAUCUUUUUACCUGUUCAGGAGCCAGAAGCCAUGACCCCAGAUGGGGGACAGCCAUGCCCUCGGGCCGGGCCCUGGACACAAGUCGUCCAUCCUGAUCUCUAGAGUCAACAGAGCUGCAUCUCAAGGCACCAAGUCAAAUGCUGCUUUCCAAAUGGCAGGGCUGCCGGCAUGAUGGACCAAAACCAGAAUAGCAUACUUUCUUACUUUCUAGUUUUAGUAUUUUUUUCUGCUGCUAAAAUAACAUACAAUCCAGACAAAAAAGAAUAUGAAAGAAAAUGUAGGGGCACCUGGGUGGCUUAGCCAGGUAAGCCUCUGCUUUCGGCUGGUCAUGAUCUCAGGGUCCUGGGAUCGGCGGGCUCCCUGCUCAGUGGGGAGUCUGCUUGUCCCUCUCCCACGGCCCUUCUUCCCCACUCGUGCACUCUCUCUCUCUUUCUCUCAAAUAAAGUCUUUAAAAAAAAAAAAAAAAGAAAAUGUCAGUUACCAUAAUUACUUGACCCAGAAAUACAGGAGCAACAUUUUUGUGUAUUUCCCACCAGUUCAUUUUUCUACUUGUAUAUUUGUUUUUCCUUUUGAAAACUGUGUUUCUUUUUCAUUUCACUUAAAUACGGGUAUAUGUUCUCACAAAAAAAAAGUGAGCACAAACCAGCCUUACAAAGGGAAGAAAUCUGACACAAGCUACCACGCGGAUGAACCUAGAGGACAUUGUGCAAAAUGAAAUAAGCCCGUCACAGAAAAGACAUCUACGGGACAAUUUACCUGUAGGAGGUACACAGUGGCCAAAUUCACAAGGCAAAGAAUGGUGGUUGCCAGGGGCUGCAGGGAGGGGGGAGCAGGGAGUUGCUGUUUAAAGGAUGUGAGAGUUUCAGAUUUGCAAGAUGGAAAACGUUCUAGAGAUGGUUGUACAUCUCUAGAGUGAUGUGAAUGUGCUUAAUACUACUCAACUGUACACCGAAAAACAGUUAAGACAGUGAAUUUAUGCUAUGUGUAUUUUGCCAUGAUUCACCAAAAAAAAUUUUUUUUAAGAUUUUAUUUAUUUAAUAGAGAGAGAGAGUGUGAGAGAGAGCGUGAGAGGGGAGAAGGUCAGAGGGAAAAGCAGACUCCCCAUGGAGCUGGGAGCCCAAUGUGGGACCCGAUCCUGGGACUCCGGGAUCAUGACCUGAGCUGAAGGCAGUCGCCUAACCAACUGAGCCACCCAGGCGCCCACACAAAAAUUUUUUUAUUUAAAAACUGACUUCCAUUUUGCCCCUUCCCUGCAAAAGACAGAGAAGUCCUCACCUGAUUCCGUUAUUAGUUGGGUAUGUGUGGCUGCGGAUCGUUUCCUGUGCGUAGACAUGCUUAAAUGAACGUAUAAAAAAUACACUGCUUCAUGGCUGACACAGGAUGGGGACCACUUGUCAUGAUGAGCACCUGGUGAUGUAUGGAGUGUGAAUCACCUGUGUACACCUGACCCUCAUAGAGCUCUGUAUGUUAACUAACUCGAAUUAAAACAUAAAGUCAUGGGUGCCUGGGUGGCUCAGUGGGUUAAGCCUCUGCCUUCGGCUAUAGGUCAUGAUCUCAGGGUCCUGGGAUCGAGGCCCGCAAUGGGCUCUCUCCUCAGCGGGGAGCCUGCUUUCUCCUCUCUUUCUCUGUGCCUGCCUCUCUGCAUACUUGUGAUCUCUCUCUCUCUGUUUCAAUUAAAUAAAAAUAAAAUUAAAAAAAAAACACAUAAAGUCAUAUAGCCCUGCAAAGUAUACAUAUGUAUACACACACAUAUCCAUAUAUAUCUACAUCUGUAUAUAUAUAUAUAUAUAUUGCUUCAUUCUGUAUGGGUGUGGCCACAAUGUUAACAUUAACAUUGCUCUGGAACUUGUGUUUGUCACUAAAUGAGGCAUCAGAGAGCUAACUGGUCCAUGGGACACCUAUCACACCCCAAUAGCACAGUGUGAAGCCAGACUUGGGUUCUGUUCUGUUGUAUGACCAUGUCCCUUGUAUCGGACAUUUGUCGCAGCCUCAUCUUUCUACCUUAUAAACAAUGCUUCGGAAAAAAAAUAAUAAUAAAAUAAACAAUGCUUCGGGAACAUCCUUGGCCAUGCUUCCUGGAACUUGCCUGCAAGCGUUCCUCUAAGGAUAAAGGCUAGGAUGUGUGACUGCUGGGUGGACGGGUUUGGACAUGUAAAAUUUCACUAGAUUCUGCUGGCUGAGCUUUCCAAAAAGGCUAUACCAAUUUCUACUUCACGAGGAGUGUUUGAGAUUACCCACACCUCACCAGCACUUAAUAAUAAAUGCCUUUUUUUAGGUAUAAUCAUUUUUUUCCAAUUUAUUUUUAAUAAAUAUAUGUAGAGUUUUAUAUAUACAUACACAUGUAUGUGUAUAUGCAUGUAUAGAGGUUUUUAAUGAAAAACAGCAGUUCCCUGCCCUAAGCUUUCCUACCACCAGAGUCUACUUCCCAGAGGCAGCCACUGGCAAGCUUCUAACUAUUUUCUCUGGCAUUUAACCUCCAAAUGAGGAAUACCAUGCUUCUACUGCUAUUUCUUAAUUUAUCAUUUUUAAACAUUAUUCACAGAUGUUGGUGUAUGAGUCCCGAAGUUUCCCACAGGUACACCUAUCACCUCCCCUCCCCCACCGCCCCAACACAGCUCUAUGACAAUUUUGGGGUGAAGAGUUGUAUUUACAUUAUAACGACUAUGAUGAGUUGGGGAAGCAUUAUUUAGACCCCAUCCUGUGCAACCCUCCAGUAUCCCCAAAGUCAAUGAGGGCUGCUUUUUUAUUCACUUUGCCUUCUAUUACCUAUCUUUAGUGCUCUCUAAAAGCUUUCACAUCUCUGCCAAGGGCCUUUCCGUGAUAUUUUCCAUAUGUUCAAGUACAUCAGUUCCAUUUCUUCUUCCUGGAGCCCCUCAGGAGACCCCCUUCCUCCUGCAUUUGAAGCUGGCUGGGCUCUGACCUAAUGCUCCCCUAUGGCAGGGACCUCUCUUCACACCUUCCUGUGUUGGGUACCUAGCCCCUGUUUUAGGGAUCCCAUUUCCUGCUCUCUUUCUGCCCCCCUUGUUAAAUUAAUUUAUUUUCUUUAAGAUUUUAUUCAUUUAUUUGACAGACAGAGAUCACAAGUAGGCGGAGAGGCAGACAGAGAGAGAGAGGAGGAAGCAGGCUCCCCGCUGAGCAGAGAGCCCGAUGCGGGGCUUGAUCCCAGGACCCUGAGAUCAUGA
ensembl:lincRNA